rnacentral:rRNA from 1 species
UGCGUAGGUGGCAAGCGUUGUCCGGAAUUAUUGGGCGUAAAGAGCAUGUAGGUGGGCUGUUAAGUCUGUUGUGAAAAUGCGGGGCUCAACCCCGUAUUGCGAUGGAAACUGACAGUCUUGAGUGCAGGAGAGGAAAGGGGAAUUCCCAGUGUAGCGGUGAAAUGCGUAGAUAUUGGGAGGAACACCAGUGGCGAAGGCGCCUUUCUGGACUGUGUCUGACACUGAGAUGCGAAAGCUAGGGGAGCGAACGGG